rnacentral:rRNA from 1 species
AUUGAACGCUGGCGGCAGGCCUAACACAUGCAAGUCGAACGGUAACAGGAAGCAGCUUGCUGCUUUGCUGACGAGUGGCGGACAGGUGAGUAAUGUCUGGGAAACUGCCCGAUGGAGGGGGAUAACUACUGGAAACGGUAGCUAAUACCGCAUAACGUCGCAAGACCAAAGAGGGGGACCUUAGGGCCUCUUGCCAUCGGAUGUGCCCAGAUGGGAUUAGCUAGUAGGUGGGGUAACGGCUCACCUAGGCGACGAUCCCUAGCUGGUCUGAGAGGAUGACCAGCCACACUGGAACUGAGACACGGUCCAGACUCCUACGGGAGGCAGCAGUGGGGAAUAUUGCACAAUGGGCGCAAGCCUGAUGCAGCCAUGCCGCGUGUAUGAAGAAGGCCUUCGGGUUGUAAAGUACUUUCAGCGGGGAGGAAGGGAGUAAAGUUAAUACCUUUGCUCAUUGACGUUACCCGCAGAAGAAGCACCGGCUAACUCCGUG